CGCGGGGUGGAGCAGCCUGGUAGCUCGUCGGGCUCAUAACCCGAAAGGUCGUCGGUUCAAAUCCGGCCCCCGCAACCA
rnacentral:tRNA from 2 species